rnacentral:rRNA from 1 species
GACGAACGCUGGCGGCGUGCUUAACACAUGCAAGUCGAACGGAAAGGCCCUGCUUUUGUGGGGUGCUCGAGUGGCGAACGGGUGAGUAACACGUGAGUAACCUGCCCUUGACUUUGGGAUAACUUCAGGAAACUGGGGCUAAUACCGGAUAGGAGCUCCUGCUGCAUGGUGGGGGUUGGAAAGUUUCGGCGGUUGGGGAUGGACUCGCGGCUUAUCAGCUUGUUGGUGGGGUAGUGGCUUACCAUGGCUUUGACGGGUAGCCGGCCUGGGAGGGUGACCGGCCACAUUGGGACUGAGAUACGGCCCAGACUCCUACGGGAGGCAGCAGUGGGGAAUAUUGCACAAGGGGCGGAAGCAUGAUGCAGCAACGCCGCGUGCGGGAUGACGGCCUUCGGGUUGUAAACCGCUUUCGCCUGUGACGAAGCGUGAGUGACGGUAAUGGGUAAAGAAGCACCGGCUAACUACGUG